AAGUCGUAACAAGGUUUCCGUAGGUGAACCUGCGGAAGGAUCAUUACUGUAGGGGCCUUUUGGCCCAUUACGAAACAACCCUUGUCUUUUUUGUGCACCGAUCGUUUCCUCGGCAGCUUUGCCUGCCAGCGAGGACCCCCAAAAAACCUUCUGCAAUCCUAGUAUACCGUUCUGAAAAACAAACAAUAUUAAAACUUUCAACAAUGGAUCUCUUGGCUCUG
rnacentral:misc_RNA from 1 species